rnacentral:rRNA from 1 species
GACGAACCGUGCAAACGUUGUUCGGAAUCACUGGGCUUAAAGGGCGCGUAGGCGGGUUCGCAAGUCUGUGGUGAAAGCCCCCAGCUUAACUGGGGAAGUGCCGUGGAUACUGCGAAUCUUGAGGAGGGUAGGGGCAUCUGGAACGGUCGGUGGAGCGGUGAAAUGCGUUGAUAUCGACCGGAACUCCGGUGGCGAAGGCGGGUUGCUGGGCUGACACUGACGCUGAUGCGCGAAAGCCAGGGGAGCGAACGGG